rnacentral:rRNA from 1 species
UGAGGAAUCUUGCGCAAUGGACGAAAGUCUGACGCAGCCACGCCGCGUGGAGGAAGACACCCCUAUGGGGCGUACACUCCUUUUAUAUGGGAAGAACACCCUGCUCGGCAGGGUCUGACGGUACCAUACGAAUAAGCACCGGCUAACACCCUGCCAGCAGCCCCGGUAAUACGGAGGGUGCAAGCGUAGUCCGGAAUCACUGGGUGUCAAGGGUGUGUAGGUGGGACUGUAAGUCAGAGGUGAAUGCCCACGGCUCAACCGUGGAAUUGCCUUUGAUACUGCAGUUCUUGAGUCCUGGAGAGGUCGCUGGAAUUCGUGGUGUAGCGGUGAAAUGCGUAGAUAUCACGAGGAACACCAGAGGUGUAGACGGGUGACUGGACAGGUACUGACACUGAGGCACGAAAGCGUGGGGAGCAAACAGGAUUAGAUACCCGGGUAGUCC